rnacentral:rRNA from 1 species
GACGAACGCUGGCGGCGUGCUUAACACAUGCAAGUCGAACGGAAAGGCCCAGCUUGCUGGGUGCUCGAGUGGCGAGCGGGUGAGUAACACGUGGGUGAUCUGCCUCUAACUUCGGGAUAAGCUUGGGAAACUGGGUCUAAUACCGGAUAGGACAAUCGUUUAGUGUCGGUUGUGGAAAGUUUUUUCGGUUAGGGAUGAGCCCGCGGCCUAUCAGCUUGUUGGUGGGGUAAUGGCCUACCAAGGCGUCGACGGGUAGCCGGCCUGAGAGGGUGGACGGCCACAUUGGGACUGAGAUACGGCCCAGACUCCUACGGGAGGCAGCAGUGGGGAAUAUUGCACAAUGGGCGCAAGCCUGAUGCAGCGACGCCGCGUGGGGGAUGACGGCCUUCGGGUUGUAAACCUCUUUCGACAGGGACGAAGCUUUGGUGACGGUACCUGUAUAAGAAGCACCGGCUAACUACGUG